rnacentral:rRNA from 1 species
UGGGGAAUAUUGGACAAUGGGGGGAACCCUGAUCCAGCCAUGCCGCGUGUGUGAAGAAGGCCUUAUGGUUGUAAAGCACUUUAAGCGAGGAGGAGGCUCUUUUGGUUAAUACCCAAGAUGAGUGGACGUUACUCGCAGAAUAAGCACCGGCUAACUCUGUGCCAGCAGCCGCGGUAAUACAGAGGGUGCGAGCGUUAAUCGGAUUUACUGGGCGUAAAGCGUGCGUAGGCGGCUUUUUAAGUCGGAUGUGAAAUCCCCGAGCUUAACUUGGGAAUUGCAUUCGAUACUGGGAAGCUAGAGUAUGGGAGAGGAUGGUAGAAUUCCAGGUGUAGCGGAGAAAUGCGUAGAGAUCUGGAGGAAUACCGAUGGCGAAGGCAGCCAUCUGGCCUAAUACUGACGCUGAGGUACGAAAGCAUGGGGAGCAAACAGG